AUAAUCAUGGAGUAUAAUAAUUAAAUUUAAUAAAUUUAAUAUAACUAUUAAUAGAAUUAGGUUACUAAUAAAUUAAUAACAAUUAAUUUUAAAACCUAAAGGUAAACCUUUAUAUUAAUAAUGUUUUUUUUUAUUAUUUUUAUAAUAAGAAUAAUUAUUAAUAAUAAUAAACUAAGUGAACUGAAACAUCUAAGUAACUUAAGGAUAAUAAAUCAACAGAGAUAUUAUGAGUAUUGGUGAGAGAAAAUAAUAAAGGUCUAAUAAGUAUUAUGUGAAAAAAAUGUAAGAAAAUAGGAUAACAAAUUCUAAGACUAAAUACUAUUAAUAAGUAUAGUAAGUACCGUAAGGGAAAGUAUGAAAAUGAUUAUUUUAUAAGCAAUCAUGAAUAUAUUAUAUUAUAUUAAUGAUGUACCUUUUGUAUAAUGGGUCAGCAAGUAAUUAAUAUUAGUAAAACAAUAAGUUAUAAAUAAAUAGAAUAAUAUAUAUAUAUAUAAAAAUAUAUUAAAAUAUUUAAUUAAUAUUAAUUGACCCGAAAGCAAACGAUCUAACUAUGAUAAGAUGGAUAAACGAUCGAACAGGUUGAUGUUGCAAUAUCAUCUGAUUAAUUGUGGUUAGUAGUGAAAGACAAAUCUGGUUUGCAGAUAGCUGGUUUUCUAUGAAAUAUAUGUAAGUAUAGCCUUUAUAAAUAAUAAUUAUUAUAUAAUAUUAUAUAAAUAUUAUAUAAAGAAUGGUACAGCAAUUAAUAUAUAUUAGGGAACUAUUAAAGUUUUAUUAAUAAUAUUAAAUCUCGAAAUAUUUAAUUAUAUAUAAUAAAGAGUCAGAUUAUGUGCGAUAAGGUAAAUAAUCUAAAGGGAAACAGCCCAGAUUAAGAUAUAAAGUUCCUAAUAAAUAAUAAGUGAAAUAAAUAUUAAAAUAUUAUAAUAUAAUCAGUUAAUGGGUUUGACAAUAACCAUUUUUUAAUGAACAUGUAACAAUGCACUGAUUUAUAAUAAAUAAAAAAAAUAAUAUUUAAAAUCAAAUAUAUAUAUAUUUGUUAAUAGAUAAUAUACGGAUCUUAAUAAUAAGAAUUAUUUAAUUCCUAAUAUGGAAUAUUAUAUUUUUAUAAUAAUAAUAAAAAUAUAAAUACUGAAUAUCUAAAUAUUAUUAUUACUUUUUUUUUUUAAUAAUAAUAAUAUGGUAAUAGAACAUUUAAUGAUAAUAUAUAUUAGUUAUUAAUUAAUAUAUGUAUUAAUUAAAUAGAGAAUGCUGACAUGAGUAACGAAAAAAAGGUAUAAACCUUUUCACCUAAAACAUAAGGUUUAACUAUAAAAGUACGGCCCCUAAUUAAAUUAAUAAGAAUAUAAAUAUAUUUAAGAUGGGAUAAUCUAUAUUAAUAAAAAUUUAUCUUAAAAUAUAUAUAUUAUUAAUAAUUAUAUUAAUAAUAUAUAUAAUUAUAUUAUAUAUUAUAUUUUUUUUAUAUAAUAUAAACUAAUAAAGAUCAGGAAAUAAUUAAUGUAUACCGUAAUGUAGACCGACUCAGGUAUGUAAGUAGAGAAUAUGAAGGUGAAUUAGAUAAUUAAAGGGAAGGAACUCGGCAAAGAUAGCUCAUAAGUUAGUCAAUAAAGAGUAAUAAGAACAAAGUUGUACAACUGUUUACUAAAAACACCGCACUUUGCAGAAACGAUAAGUUUAAGUAUAAGGUGUGAACUCUGCUCCAUGCUUAAUAUAUAAAUAAGAUUAUUUAACGAUAAUUUAAUUAAAUUUAGGUAAAUAGCAGCCUUAUUAUGAGGGUUAUAAUGUAGCGAAAUUCCUUGGCCUAUAAUUGAGGUCCCGCAUGAAUGACGUAAUGAUACAACAACUGUCUCCCCUUUAAGCUAAGUGAAAUUGAAAUCGUAGUGAAGAUGCUAUGUACCUUCAGCAAGACGGAAAGACCCUAUGCAGCUUUACUGUAAUUAGAUAGAUCGAAUUAUUGUUUAUUAUAUUCAGCAUAUUAAGUAAUCCUAUUAUUAGGUAAUCGUUUAGAUAUUAAUGAGAUACUUAUUAUAAUAUAAUGAUAAUUCUAAUCUUAUAAAUAAUUAUUAUUAAUAAUAAUAAUAGUCCGGGCCGCCCCGCGGAUGGGGCGGACCCCGAAGGAGUGAUAAACAUAUUUAUAUGAUAAUCACUUUACUUAAUAGAUAUAAUUCUUAAGUAAUAUAUAAUAUAUAUUAUAUAUAUAUUAUAUAAAAUAUAAGAGACAAUCUCUAAUUGGUAGUUUUGAUGGGGCGUCAUUAUCAGCAAAAGUAUCUGAAUAAGUCCAUAAAUAAAUAUAUAAAAUUAUUGAAUAAAAAAUAAUAUAUAUUAUAUAUAUUAAUUAUAAAUUGAAAUAUGUUUAUAUAAAUUUAUAUUUAUUGAAUAUAUUUUAGUAAUAGAUAAAAAUAUGUACAGUAAAAUUGUAAGGAAAACAAUAAUAACUUUCUUCUCUCUCGGUGGGGGUUCACACCUAUUUUUAAUUUUAAUAGGUGUUCACUCCUCUUCGGGGUUCCGGUUCCCUUUCGGGUUCCGGAACUAAAUAAUUAUAUUAUGGAAAGAAUUAAAUUAAUAUAAUGGUAUAACUGUGCGAUAAUUGUAACACAAACGAGUGAAACAAGUACGUAAGUAUGGCAUAAUGAACAAAUAACACUGAUUGUAAAGGUUAUUGAUAACGAAUAAAAGUUACGCUAGGGAUAACAGGGUAAUAUAACGAAAGAGUAGAUAUUGUAAGUUAUGUUUGCCACCUCGAUGUCGACUCAACAUUUCCUCUUGGUUGUAAAAGCUAAGAAGGGUUUGACUGUUCGUCAAUUAAAAUGUUACGUGAGUUGGGUUAAAUACGAUGUGAAUCAGUAUGGUUCCUAUCUGCUGAAGGAAAUAUUAUCAAAUUAAAUCUCAUUAUUAGUACGCAAGGACCAUAAUGAAUCAACCCAUGGUGUAUCUAUUGAUAAUAAUAUAAUAUAUUUAAUAAAAAUAAUACUUUAUUAAUAUAUUAUCUAUAUUAGUUUAUAUUUUAAUUAUAUAUAUUAUCAUAGUAGAUAAGCUAAGUUGAUAAUAAAUAAAUAUUGAAUACAUAUUAAAUAUGAAGUUGUUUUAAUAAGAUAAUUAAUCUGAUAAUUUUAUACUAAAAUUAAUAAUUAUAGGUUUUAUAUAUUAUUUAUAAAUAAAUAUAAUAUAAUAAUAAUAAUUAUUAUUAUUAAUAAAAAAAAA
rnacentral:rRNA from 1 species